rnacentral:rRNA from 1 species
UACGUAGGUGGCAAGCGUUGUCCGGAAUUAUUGGGCGUAAAGCGCGCGCAGGUGGUCCUUUAAGUCUGAUGUGAAAGCCCACGGCUCAACCGUGGAGGGUCAUUGGAAACUGGGGGACUUGAGUGCAGGAGAGAAGAGUGGAAUUCCACGUGUAGCGGUGAAAUGCGUAGAGAUGUGGAGGAACACCAGUGGCGAAGGCGACUCUUUGGCCUGUAACUGACACUGAGGCGCGAAAGCUAGGGGAGCAAACGGG